rnacentral:rRNA from 1 species
CGUAGGGUCCGAGCGUUGUCCGGAAUUAUUGGGCGUAAAGGGCUCGUAGGCGGUUUGUCGCGUCGGGAGUGAAAACCUACAGCUUAACUGUGGGCUUGCUUUCGAUACGGGCAGACUUGAGGCAUGCAGGGGAGAACGGAAUUCCUGGUGUAGCGGUGAAAUGCGCAGAUAUCAGGAGGAACACCGGUGGCGAAGGCGGUUCUCUGGGCAUGUUCUGACGCUGAGGAGCGAAAGUGUGGGGAGCGAACAGGAUUAGAUACCCUGGUAGUCCACACCGUAAACGUUGGGCGCUAGGUGUGGGAUCCAUUCCACGGGUUCCGUGCCGCAGCUAACGCAUUAAGCGCCCCGCCUGGGGAGUACGGCCGCAAGGCUA